AGGUAGCAUAAUCAUUUGUUAUCUAAAUGAUAACUAGUAUGAAUGGUCUGACGAGAAAACAACUUUCUAAAAAGAAAAGAUGAAAAUUUUUUUUAAAGUAAAAAAGCUUUACAACUUUAGAAAGACGAGAAGACCCUAGAACCUAUUCUAUCUAUAUAGUUUGUUGGGGUGACAUUAUUCAAAACAAAUAACUAUUAAAACUUAUUGACUGACUGCAUCUAUCUUUUAUUAAAAAAAAAAAGGUACUCUAGGGAUAACAGCAUAAUCUUCUUCUAGAGCCCUAAUCGACAAGAAAGAUUUUGACCUCGAUGUUGAAUUGAUAUUUCUUUCUAAAGCAGAA
rnacentral:rRNA from 1 species